rnacentral:rRNA from 1 species
AUUGAACGCUGGCGGCAGGCCUAACACAUGCAAGUCGAACGGUAACAGGAAGCUUGUUGCUGCUUUGAGGGGGGGAGGCGGACGUGAGGGCUAUGAAUGGGACAGUGCCUGGUGGAGAGGGUCCACUAACGGGAACGGAUACCACAACCGCAUAGAGGCGCAAGACCAAAGAGGGGGAGAUCCGGGGCUCUUAGAAGAGGAUGUGUCGGGAUGGGAUGAUCUAGUAGGUGGGGUAACGGCUCACCAAGGCGACGAUCCGUAGCUGGUCUGAGAGGAUGACCAGCCACACUGGAACUGAGACACGGUCCAGACUCCUACGGGAGGCAGCAGUGGGGAAUAUUGCACAAUGGGCGAAAGCCUGAUGCAGCCAUGCCGCGUGUAUGAAGAAGGCCUUCGGAUUGUAAAGCACUUUAAGCUGGGAGGAAGGGCAUUAAGUUAAUACCUUGCUUCAUUGACGUUACCCACAGAAUAAGCACCGGCUAACUCCGUG